AACGAACGCUGGCGGCAGGCCUAACACAUGCAAGUCGAACGCUGUAGCAAUACAGAGUGGCGCACGGGUGCGUAACGCGUGGGAAUAUGCCCUUGACUACGGAACAACAUCGGGAAACUGAUGCUAAUACCGUAUAAUGUCUUCGGACCAAAGAUUCAUCGGUCAAGGAUUAGCCCGCGUCUGAUUAGCUAGUUGGUGAGGUAACGGCUCACCAAGGCGACGAUCAGUAGCUGGUCUGAGAGGAUGAUCAGCCACACUGGGACUGAGACACGGCCCAGACUCCUACGGGAGGCAGCAGUGAGGAAUAUUGGACAAUGGGCGCAAGCCUGAUCCAGCCAUGCCGCGUGAGUGACGAAGGCC
rnacentral:rRNA from 1 species